GGCGAAUUCACACGAAUCAGUCAGUCAGUCAAACAGUCAGUCAGUCAGUCAGUCAGUCAGUCAGUCAGUCAGUCAGUCAGUCAGUCAGUCAGUCAUUAGAUAGAUGUUGGUUACUUCUUGUAACCUUUUUUAUUUAUGUUUACCGUUUUAAGAAAAACUAAUAAGUUUAACAGAAAAUCUAUUUCUUAGGGUGAUAAAAUAGUGCUGUUUAACAUAAUUACUUCAGAUAUGAGUUGUGGUCCUGUUUUUUACAAUUAUUCCCAGCAAUAGGUCUUGUAUGUUACACAAAGGAAAACUGUUGUGUAAACGCUCAAUUUUUCAUCUUUUUUCACCAAACUAUGCCAGGUUGAGAGCGUGUAAGUAACCUUAACAAGCUUUUAAUACCCGUUAUUAUCCCACGCAUUUGGUUAAAAAGUUACGAGGUGAAAUAAAACUUUGUAAGAUCUGCAUUAGGUUAGCUUUGAUCUCUGGUCAAAAUCGACUAUUAAAAUUUUUUGUUCAUGAAAUAGCACAAUAUUUUGUUAAUAAAACGACCAGCUUUUACUCAAACGCUUUGAUUUUUUGCAUGUUGUUUUCUGAAAUGUCAGAAAACAUAGUCCCAAAGUUUCGAGGCGCUGUCAUUAAUAGAUCUUAUUUUAUUUACGUUUUUUACGUAAAAAUUCAUGUUACAAAAAGGAACUGUUCCUUAAUGUAACCAAAAAAGUCCUUUUUGUAACUCGAAAAAAAAUUUACUCCUCCAUGAUGAGGCGUGAAGCCGUUAUUCUGGUAUGAUCAGUUUUUGGAUACUUCUAGAAAUUGACUAAUAUUAAAAUUGCACUCUCAACCCUCCAAAUUUGAAAGAAAAAGAACGUUUUAGAUUAAGACCUUUUUAUCAAUAUAGGUGAUUUCAAAUAAUUUCCUGUCACCGUUUUUGAAAUCAUUGUUAUAAUAUUUGUACCCCAUUCAACUCGCAUUUUGUUUAAAGAGAACGAACAUUUUUUUUCAUUUUCUUUAAUACACCCCUUUCCAAAAGAAUGGAAUGAAAUAUGGAGCAAAGAGCAAGAUUUCAAAGAAAGGC
rnacentral:lncRNA from 1 species